ACGGGAGGCAGCAGUAGGGAAUCUUCCGCAAUGGACGAAAGUCUGACGGAGCAACGCCGCGUGAGUGAUGAAGGCUUUCGGGUCGUAAAACUCUGUUGUUAGGGAAGAACAAGUGCUAGUUGAAUAAGCUGGCACCUUGACGGUACCUAACCAGAAAGCCACGGCUAACUACGUGCCAGCAGCCGCGGUAAUACGUAGGUGGCAAGCGUUAUCCGGAAUUAUUGGGCGUAAAGCGCGCGCAGGUGGUUUCUUAAGUCUGAUGUGAAAGCCCACGGCUCAACCGUGGAGGGUCAUUGGAAACUGGGAGACUUGAGUGCAGAAGAGGAAAGUGGAAUUCCAUGUGUAGCGGUGAAAUGCGUAGAGAUAUGGAGGAACACCAGUGGCGAAGGCGACUUUCUGGUCUGUAACUGACACUGAGGCGCGAAAGCGUGGGGAGCAAACAGGAUUAGAUACCCUGGUAGUCCACGCCGUAAACGAUGAGUGCUAAGUGUUAGAGGGUUUCCGCCCUUUAGUGCUGAAGUUAACGCAUUAAGCACUCCGCCUGGGGAGUACGGCCGCAAGGCUGAAACUCAAAGGAAUUGACGGGGA
rnacentral:rRNA from 1 species